rnacentral:rRNA from 1 species
UGAGGAAUAUUGGUCAAUGGGCGAGAGCCUGAACCAGCCAAGUAGCGUGAAGGAUGACUGCCCUAUGGGUUGUAAACUUCUUUUAUAAAGGAAUAAAGUCGGGUAUGUAUACCCGUUUGCAUGUACUUUAUGAAUAAGGAUCGGCUAACUUCGUGCCAGCAGCCGCGGUAAUACGGAGGAUCCGAGCGUUAUCCGGAUUUAUUGGGUUUAAAGGGAGCGUAGAUGGAUGUUUAAGUCAGUUGUGAAAGUUUGCGGCUCAACCGUAAAAUUGCAGUUGAUACUGGAUAUCUUGAGUGCAGUUGAGGCAGGCGGAAUUCGUGGUGUAGCGGUGAAAUGCUUAGAUAUCACGAAGAACUCCGAUUGCGAAGGCAGCCUGCUAAGCUGCAACUGACAUUGAGGCUCGAAAGUGUGGGUAUCAAACAGGAUUAGAUACCCUGGUAGUCCACACGGUAAACGAUGAAUACUCGCUGUUUGCGAUAUACUGCAAGCGGCCAAGCGAAAGCGUUAAGUAUUCCACCUGGGGAGUACGCCGGCAACGGUGAAACUCAAAGGAAUUGACGGGGGCCCGCACAAGCGGAGGAACAUGUGGUUUAAUUCGAUGAUACGCGAGGAACCUUACCCGGGCUUAAAUUGCAGAUGAAUUACGGUGAAAGCCGUAAGCCGCAAGGCAUCUGUGAAGGUGCUGCAUGGUUGUCGUCAGCUCGUGCCGUGAGGUGUCGGCUUAAGUGCCAUAACGAGCGCAACCCUUGUUGUCAGUUACUAACAGGUUCCGCUGAGGACUCUGACAAGACUGCCAUCGUAAGAUGUGAGGAAGGUGGGGAUGACGUCAAAUCAGCACGGCCCUUACGUCCGGGGCUACACACGUGUUACAAUGGGGGGUACAGAGGGCCGCUACCACGCGAGUGGAUGCCAAUCCCCAAAACCUCUCUCAGUUCGGACUGGAGUCUGCAACCCGACUCCACGAAGCUGGAUUCGCUAGUAAUCGCGCAUCAGCCACGGCGCGGUGAAUACGUUCCC